AUUGAACGCUAGCGGGAUGCUUUACACAUGCAAGUCGAACGAGUGGCGGACGGGUGAGUAAUAUAUCGGAACGUGCCCAGUAGCGGGGGAUAACUACUCGAAAGAGUGGCUAAUACCGCAUACUCUUGGAGCGGCCGAUAUCGGAUUGGCUAGUUGGUGGGGUAAAGGCUCACAAAGGCAACGAACCGUAGCUGGUUUGAGAGGACGACGAGCCACACGGGGACUGGGACACGCCCCAGACUCCGACGGGAGGCAGCAGUGGGGAAUUUUGGACAAGGGGGGAAACCCUGAUCCAGCCAGCCCGGGUAGAUGAGAGGGCCUUCGGUUGGUAAAGUACUUUGGGCAGGGAAGCGGUAUCUGCAGAAUAAGCACCGGCUAACUACGUGCCAGCAGCCGCGGUAAUAC
rnacentral:rRNA from 1 species